rnacentral:miRNA from 1 species
AGAGGAAGAGUUUUCUGGCUC